rnacentral:rRNA from 1 species
CCCUGGGGAGUACGGCCGCAAGACAGAACCCAAUGAAUUGACCGGGGACCCGCCCAAUCGGUGGAGCAUUUGGUUUAAUUCCAAGCCAAACCCACAGAACCUUACCAGGGCCUUGGACAUCCAAUGAGCUUCCUAGUAAAUUAAUGGGUGCCUUCGGGAACAUGGAAGACAGGUGCUGCAUGGCCUGUCGUCAGCUCUUGUUCUUGAAAUGUUGGGUUAAGUUCCGUAACAAGCCCAACCCUUGUCCUUAGUUACCAGCACUUAAUGGUGGGAACUCUAAGGAAACUGCCGGUAACAACCCGGAGGAAGGUGGGGAUGACUUCAAUUCAUCUUGCCCUUACGGCCUGGGCUACACUCUUCCUACAUUGGUCGGUACAAUGGUUGCCAAGCCGCAAGGUGAACCUAUUCCCUCAAAACCGAUCGUAUUGCGGAUCGCAGUCUGCACCUCGACUGCUUGAAUUCGGAUUCGCUAUUAUUCCUAUUCAAGAUGUC